CAAAGAAACAGACCAAAUCAUCAAUACUCAUGAGGACACGAAGCUGCGGCUGAAGUCUGAUUGUGAAAAGGAGAUAGAGGAAGUUGUUGCUCAAAUUCGUAGAAAGUAUGAGAUUAAACUUCAGGAGACGGAAUCUGAAUUCAUCCUUAAGAAAAAAGAACUUGACACAUAUCACAACAAAGUUCUUAUGAACAAGAUCUUGGC
rnacentral:misc_RNA from 1 species